rnacentral:rRNA from 1 species
AACGAACGCUGGCGGCAGGCUUAACACAUGCAAGUCGAACGCACCUUUCGGGGUGAGUGGCAGACGGGUGAGUAACGGGUGGGAAUCUACCCUUCUCUACGGGAUAGCUCCGGGAAACUGGAAUUAAUACCGUAUACGUCCUGAGGGAGAAAGAUUUAUCGGGGAAGGAUGAGCCCGCGUUGGAUUAGCUAGUUGGUGGGGUAAAGGCCUACCAAGGCGACGAUCCAUAGCUGGUCUAAGAGGAUGAUCAGCCACAUUGGGACUGAGACACGGCCCAAACUCCUACGGGAGGCAGCAGUGGGGAAUAUUGGACAAUGGGCGCAAGCCUGAUCCAGCCAUGCCGCGUGAGUGAUGAAGGCCCUAGGGUUGUAAAGCUCUUUCAGUGGGGACGAUAAUGACGGUACCCACAGAAGAAGCCCCGGCUAACUUCGUACCAGCCGCCGCGGUAA